rnacentral:rRNA from 1 species
UAGGGAAUAUUGGUCAAUGGGUGAGAGCCUGAACCAGCCAUGCCGCGUGCAGGAAGAAGGCCUUCUGGGUUGUAAACUGCUUUUGCCGGGGGAUAAAAUGGCUUUGCGAAGCUAAUUGAAGGUACCCGGUGAAUAAGCCACGGCUAACUACGUGCCAGCAGCCGCGGUAAUACGUAGGUGGCAAGCGUUGUCCGGAUUUAUUGGGUUUAAAGGGUGCGUAGGCGGUUCUAUAAGUCAGUGGUGAAAUACUCCGGCUCAACCGGAGAGGUGCCAUUGAUACUGCAGAACUUGAGUACAGACGAGGUAGGCGGAAUUGACGGUGUAGCGGUGAAAUGCUUAGAUAUCGUCAAGAACACCGAUAGCGAAGGCAGCUUACUAGACUGUAACUGACGCUGAGGCACGAAAGUGUGGGGAUCAAACAGGAUUAGAUACCCCAGUAGUCCCUGAGCGGGCUGGCAAGGCGCAU